AUGGGUUCGUCGCAGAAGAACCGGGACCUUCCUAGCCCCACGACCUCCUCUCAUGCCGGCCUGCUGAUGGGUUCAUCGUCAGAGGAGAAGAAUGACCGCCGGGAGGUUCUUCUCUUCAUCAACACCAAGAGCGAGCAACCACGAACCAGCACUCAAGCUCAGAUGGAUGUGGAACAUGUGAGAGAGCUUCAAGAUCGCCUUGCUAAGAUGUGCAUCCUUCCGUUACGUAAUGAAAUGAAAGAAAGCAAAGCGUGUGAAGAAGAUCAAAUCCAGGACAUAUCACCGGUUGUUCAAGAUGGACAAACUGAAGGCAUCCUCAGCAGGCUUGGAGGCAGAUCCUGA
rnacentral:rRNA from 1 species